AGAGUAAAAUAGUACGUGAAAUUGUUGAAAGGGAAACGAUUGAAGUCAGUCAUGCUGGUGGGAAUCAACUUAGGGGAAACUCUGGGUGCACUUCUUCGCUUGGCAGGUCAGCGUCGAUUUUGGACGUCAUAAAAUGAUUGGGGGAAGGUAGCUCCUUCGGGAGUGUUAUAGCCCUUGGUAGAUGUGAUGUCUGGGAUCGAGGAUUGCAACGGAUACUCUUCGGGGCUAGCCGCCUGAUCUCUAAUCGAUGUUGGGUUACGGACAGCACGCUGACCGUGAUCUAAUUAUUGGUUAAAAGGUUAGAGCGUGUGUAAAUUCGUUAAGGAUGUUGACGUAAUGGCUUUAAACGACC
rnacentral:rRNA from 1 species